GGAAGUCCGCUGCGUGUCAGUGAGGAGCUGCUGCAGAAGGAAGAAGAAGAAGCAGCGGCGUGGGGACCUGGGAGGCAGGAGCAAGCAAGAAGAGGAAGCGGAAGCGUGCAGAUGCGGGGGGGAAGGAGAGAGGCUCCCUGGGCAAAGCACCUGUCCCGUUAGCAGGGGCACAGUCACGUUUGAGUUGAGAGCUGCCGGCGCCUUUGGUGACCAGGCUGGCGUUGUGCUGGGCGACCUCCCCGUAAGCGGGGCUCGGGUCUUUGCUGUAGUUGGCCUUUUGCCUUGCUGCUCCUUUGGCUGCCUGGGGAGCGUGGCCCCCUGUAACGGAGGGCGAGAGCCACCUCUCCGCACCUGAGUGGGAAAUGGAGCUCGCCGGACCCCAAGGCCACCCUGUAAGCAGGGUAGUGCCGUUUCCCUGCCCCUCUUCCUCCCCCGGCCCCUCGGCAUCGUUGCCUGAUGGUGGCUUGUCAACGCGACGGCCCCGUACUCGGGGUGUGCGUCACGGCAUUUGGCCGUUGGCUUUACCUGAGAAGCCCCUUGGCACGUUGAGGUCUGUGGCCUCCGUGCAGCCUAGGGACAGGUCACAGGCUCUUGUCUGUUGCCCGUGGUUGUGGGUUUAUUCCCAGGUGUUGGCUGUGCUGCGUUGUCCUUCCCUUCUGGAAAGUCGUGCCUGUGUGUGCGUGUUCCCCUUCCUUUCCUUGUUUGUGUUUGUGGAGUGGUUGAGCGGCUGUGCUUUCCCUUUAGGCCUCCACAAAGAUGGCUGCAGCUUAGCUUUGACUUCCCAGGGGGGAAUGGAGGACUUUGGUGCAUGCCGCAAAAGGGGUGUUCCCUCUUAGUCCUGCGAGCGCAGCGAGUGUCCUGUCUUCCUACUAUUUUCCUUAGUGCAGAUCAGAGCCACACGGUAGUUCUGUGGCCAAGGCCUCCCUGUAGCCAGGGCUUGGGCCUGUCCUUGCGUGGCCGCCUGUCCUGCUGGCGGCGGUGACAGCCCCGUACUCGGGGUGUGUGUCCCAAGCUUCGGAGCCCUCUGUCCCUGAGCAGCCCGCCCGCCCUGUAAUCAGGUGUGGGGAGGCUGCAGCGUUG
rnacentral:lncRNA from 1 species